rnacentral:rRNA from 1 species
GAUGAACGCUGGCGGCGUGCCUAAUACAUGCAAGUCGAGCGAACAGACGAGGAGCUUGCUCCUCUGACGUUAGCGGCGGACGGGUGAGUAACACGUGGAUAACCUACCUAUAAGACUGGGAUAACUUCGGGGAACCGGAGCUAAUACCGGAUAAUAUAUUGAACCGCAUGGUUCAAUAGUGAAAGACGGUUUUGCUGUCACUUAUAGAUGGAUCCGCGCCGCAUUAGCUAGUUGGUAAGGUAACGGCUUACCAAGGCAACGAUGCGUAGCCGACCUGAGAGGGUGAUCGGCCACACUGGAACUGAGACACGGUCCAGACUCCUACGGGAGGCAGCAGUAGGGAAUCUUCCGCAAUGGGCGAAAGCCUGACGGAGCAACGCCGCGUGAGUGAUGAGGGUCUUCGGAUCGUAAAACUCUGUUAUUAGGGAAGAACAAAUGUGUAAGUAACUAUGCACGUCUUGACGGUACCUAAUCAGAAAGCCACGGCUAACUACGUG